CCCUUCUAAGCUAUGUUCAGAAGGUAUCUGAUAAGGUUUCUCUGGCUACUGAUUUAAUAUGCAACUUCAACUCCAUGUCAAGAGACGUCACUGCUAGCUUUGGUUAUGACUAGAUCCUUUGACAGUGCCGCCUUAGGGGAAAGGUUGAUUCCAAUGGCGUCUGUGCUGCAUUUUUGGAGGAG